ACUCCUACGGGAGGCAGCAGUAGGGAAUCUUCCACAAUGGGCGCAAGCCUGAUGGAGCAACACCGCGUGAGUGAAGAAGGGUUUCGGCUCGUAAAGCUCUGUUGUUAAAGAAGAACACGUAUGAGAGUAACUGUUCAUACGUUGACGGUAUUUAACCAGAAAGUCACGGCUAACUACGUGCCAGCAGCCGCGGUAAUACGUAGGUGGCAAGCGUUAUCCGGAUUUAUUGGGCGUAAAGAGAGUGCAGGCGGUUUUCUAAGUCUGAUGUGAAAGCCUUCGGCUUAACCGGAGAAGUGCAUCGGAAACUGGAUAACUUGAGUGCAGAAGAGGUAGUGGAACUCCAUGUGUAGCGGUGGAAUGCGUAGAUAUAUGGAAGAACACCAGUGGCGAAGGCGGCUACCUGGUCUGCAACUGACGCUGAGACUCGAAAGCAUGGGUAGCGAACAGGAUUAGAUACCCCUGGUA
rnacentral:rRNA from 1 species